rnacentral:rRNA from 1 species
UACAGAGGUCUCAAGCGUUGUUCGGAUUCAUUGGGCGUAAAGGGUGCGUAGGUGGCAUGGUAAGUCGGAUGUGAAAUCCCGGGGCUCAACCCCGGAACUGCAUUCGAUACUGCUGCGCUAGAGUACUGGAGAGGAGAUUGGAAUUUACGGUGUAGCAGUGAAAUGCGUAGAUAUCGUAAGGAAGACCAGUGGCGAAGGCGGGUCUCUGGGCCGAUACUGACGCUGAGGAGCGAAAGCGUGGGGAGCGAACAGG